AUGCUCCUCAAGCCCAACCCAACGCCGACGAUUCUACACGAGCUCUGUGAUCUCUGGGAGGCUGCUACGAGCAUCACCAUCAAUGACAAUGUUGAAGACCAGAUUGCCUGGAAGUGGACAGCGUCCGGCGAAUACACGGCGGCUUCUGCAUACAAGAUGCAAUUUAAGGGCAGCAUUCAAACCAACGAUAAGGCCAUAAUCUGGAAGGCAAAAGCAUCUCCCAGGGCUAAAUGCUUCGCCUGGCUGCUGUUGCAAGGGAGGAUCAUGACGGCGGAUAACUUGGCCAAGCGAAGGAUUGAACACGACCCGAUCUGCUCGCUAUGUCAUGCCGCGCCGGAAACGGCCCACCACAUGAUUGCGGCAUGUCCCUUCGCUGUGGACGUGUGGGAGAGGACCACAUCCUCGCUAGGCAUGCCGUUCACUGCGCUGCCUAUGCCCACAGACUGCUCGCUGCGGCUGCGAUUCAGACGACAAACUGCCGGGCUACCGAGAGCGAGACGGGCCAUUUGGAAGGCCUCUUGCCUGCUUGUGUCAUGGGGCAUCUGGAAGGAGCGGAACGCGAGGGUUUUCAAUCACGUCUCCUCCUCCGCCGAGCAGGUUCAUGGCCGCAUCAUCGAUGAGGCAAGGACCUGGCAACACGCUGGGCUUGCACCGAUGUCAGCUUUCUUUGAGCCACCUUGA
rnacentral:rRNA from 1 species